rnacentral:rRNA from 1 species
GACGAACGCUGGCGGCGUGCUUAACACAUGCAAGUCGAACGGGCCUGUCUUCUUUUUUGGGGGGUGGGUUGAGUGGCGAACGGGUGAGUAUCACGUGAGUAACCUGCCCUUCGGUCCUGGAUAACCGCUUGAAAGGGCGGCUAAUACGGGGUGGUCCGGUUGGUCCGCAUGGGCUGGUCGGGAUAGAUUCACUGUUUUUGGUGUUUCGGCGGGGGAUGGGCUCGCGGCCUAUCAGCUUGUUGGUGGGGUGAUGGCCUACCAAGGCGGUGACGGGUAGCCGGCCUGAGAGGGUGGGCGGCCACACUGGGACUGAGAUACGGCCCAGACUCCUGCGGGAGGCAGCAGUGGGGGGUAUUGCACAAUGGGCGGAAGCCUGAUGCAGCGACGUCGCGUGAGGGAUGGAGGCCUUCGGGUUGUGAACCUCUGUUUCCGGUGGUGAAGGCCCUGUCCGUGUGGUGGGGUUGACGGUAGCCGGGGAUGAGGCGCCGGCUAACUACGUG